GCACCAGUGGUUUAGUGGUAGAAUAGUACCCUGCCACGAUAUAGACUUAGGUUCAAUUCUUGGUUGGUGUA
rfam:Ipomoea nil DNA, scaffold: scaffold3400, cultivar: Tokyo-kokei standard.